rnacentral:lncRNA from 1 species
AGCCAAUACACACAUGAUCAGGUAUUCUGAUUAAGCUUGCCUCUGUUUCUUCUUUUCAGAGUUGUUUAAAAUACACAAGCAAGGAUAAAUGAGGAAAUCUGUAGAGACUCAAGGAGUAGACAGCUUUCUUUAGAAACAAUCUGAAUGCAACCUUUGGUUCAGUGGAAGCACUUAAGAAGAUGUCUUUAGAUUUCUCUGGAAGACUACGUCAAAACUUGUGGAAGACAUUUUUUUCAAGAGGGCCUGGAAAUGCCCAGAAGAAUCCCAUUCCACCACCUGCUUCCACCCAGAAGGAGAUGGAAUGGCAGUUCUGUCCAGGAGAACCUAUAGCGUUAGAGGACAAAGGAAACAUGCUUCAAAUGGACAGUAAAAUAUUUCCUUCUCCCAUAAAUAAAACUAUAGAGCGGCAGAUAUAAACUUCAAGGAGAGGAAGAACAGCAGUACAAGUUCAGAGAACAGCUGAUUCAAAUCAGCAUUUAGGAGAAUCAUAGGCACCCCAAGCUUAUUUAAGAUGUAAUUUUCCUCUGAUAGGAUAAAAGACUGUCACCAGUAAUGACUUCUCACCUGCUUCAACCUUAUUCCUCAGAAACUCAACAGAACUUUAACUAUAAACUAAUUCUCCAAUUACAGACAAAUAGGCUUUAGCAGAGGCCUCUUGUGAAACAUAAAUAAGAAGUGGAUACUGAAAGUGUGAAUGGAUAAAUUUAGGUAUCUCUUCGGCAUCAGGGAAAAAAAGUGUAAACUUCUGCUUUAGUGAUGAAGUGUAACAUUUUUAUGAAAAUUUCUCCCCUUCUCUGGAUUAAAUAUACAUACUGCAAACUUUAUUAAAUAUGUCUCUUGUAUAAGACUUGGACACAAUUUACUACAAGCAAAUGUUUAUUGGUUUUGUAAAACUGAUGGCAGGUCAGAAGUUCUCUGAUACUUACUAGAAAUAGGCUGCGCUACCCCUAAACACCUACAGCAAUG